UACGUAGGGGUCGAGCGUUGUCCGGAGUUACUGGGCGUAAAGGGCGUGUAGGCGGAUUGGUAAGUCUACUCUGAAAGCUCCUGGCUAAACUGGGAGAGGCGAGUGGAGACUGUCAGUCUAGAGUGAGGAAGAGGAAAGUGGAAUUCCGCGUGUAGUGGUGAAAUGCGUAGAGAUGCGGAGGAACACCAGUGGCGAAGGCGGGUCUCUGGACAGUUCCUGACGCUGAGGCACGAAGGUCAGGGGAGCAAACGGGG
rnacentral:rRNA from 1 species